CACAGGGGUGCCGAAAGGCUGAGAUCAUACCCUUUAACCUGAUGCGGGUAAUGCCGCCGUAGGGAGGACAUA
rnacentral:ncRNA from 1 species